UACAUCAUCAUCCUUACAUCAUCAUCAUCAUCAUCAUCAUCAUCAUCAUCAUCAUUACAUCAUCAUCAUCAUCAUCAUCAUCCUUACAAUCAUCAUCAUCAUCAUCAUCAUUACAUCAUCAUCUCAAAAAUAAUGUUUUUUUAUCACUGAAAAAAGAGAAAAUAUAAUUAAAAAAUUACGUUCUUAAAAAUUACGAUUAAGUUCUAAAUUUUAACAUCACAUCAACUGAUUAUCUGAUAGAUAGAUAGACAGAUAGAUAGAUAGAUAGAUAGAUAGAGAGAAAGAGACAGACAGACAAACAGACAGAGAGAUAGAUAGAGAGAGAGAGAUAGGUAGAUAGGUAGAGAGAUAGGUAGAUAGAUAGAUACAUAGAUAGAGAGAAAGAGAGAGAUCGGUAGAUAGAUAGAGAGAAAGAGAGAGACAGGUAGAUAGAGAGAAAGAGAGAGAUAGGUAGAUAGAUAGAUAGAGAGAGAGAGAGGUAAGAGCAGAUAGAGAGAAAGAGAGAGAUUGGUAGAUAGAUAGAGAGAAAGAGAGAGAUAGGUAGAUAGAUAGAGAGAAAGAGAGAGAUAGGUAGAUAGAUAGAUAGAGAGAAAGAGAGAGAUAGGUAGACAGAUAGAGAGAGAGAGAGAUUGGUAGAUAGGGAGAGAAAGAGAGAGAUAGGUAGAUAGAUAGAUAGAGAG
ensembl:lncRNA